UGGGGAAUUUUGCACAAUGGGGGAAACCCUGAUGCAGCGACGCCGCGUGAUUUAGAAGGCCUUCGGGUUGUAAAAAUCUUUUCUAUGGGAAGAAAAUGACAGUACCAUAGGAAUAAGGACCGGCUAAUUACGUGCCAGCAGCCGCGGUAAUACGUAAGGUCCGAGCGUUGUCCGGAAUCAUUGGGCGUAAAGGGUACGUAGGCGGGUAAGCAAGUUAGAAGUGAAAUCCUAUAGCUCAACUAUAGUAAGCUUUUAAAACUGCUCAUCUUAGGGAAUGAAGGGAAAGUGGAAUUCCUAGUGUAGCGGUGAAAUGCGCAGAUAUUAGGAGGAAUACCGGUGGCGAAGGCGACUUUCUGGCCAUAACCUGACGCUGAGGUACGAAAGCGUGGGUAGCAAACAGG
rnacentral:rRNA from 1 species